CUCCAGACUCCUACGGGAGGCAGCAGUGGGGGAUAUUGCACAAUGGGGGGAACCCUGAUGCAGCGACGCCGCGUGGGUGAAGAAGCGCCUCGGCGCGUAAAGCCCUGUCAGCAGGGAAGAAAAUGACGGUACCUGAAGAAGAAGCCCCGGCUAACUACGUGCCAGCAGCCGCGGUCAUACGUAGGAUCCGAGCAUUAUCCGGAGUGACUGGGUGUAAAGAGUUGCGUAGGUGGCAUAAUAAGUAGCUAGUGAAAUCUGGUGGCUCAACCAUUCAGACUAUUAGCUAAACUGUUAAGCUCGAGACCGUUAGGGGUAACUGGAAUUUCUAGUGUAGGGUUGAAAUCCGUAGAUAUUAGAAGGAACACCAAUAGCGUAGGCAGGUUACUGGGACGGUUCUGACACUAAGGCACGAAAGCGUAGGGAGCAAACGGGAUUAGAUACCCCUGUA
rnacentral:rRNA from 1 species